UACGUAGGGACCAAGCGUUGUUCGGAUUUACUGGGCGUAAAGGGCGCGUAGGCGGCUUAACAAGUCACUUGUGAAAUCUCCGGGCUUAACUCGGAACGGCCAAGUGAAACUGUCAAGCUAGAGUGCAGAAGGGGCAAUCGGAAUUCUUGGUGUAGCGGUGAAAUGCGUAGAUAUCAAGAGGAACACCGAAGGCGAAGGCAGCACUCUGGGCCGGUACUGACGCUGAGGAGCGAAAGCGUGGGGAGCAAACAGG
rnacentral:rRNA from 1 species